GCUUCCUACGGGAGGCAGCAGUAGGGAAUCUUCCGCAAUGGACGAAAGUCUGACGGAGCAACGCCGCGUGAGUGAUGAAGGCUUUCGGGUCGUAAAACUCUGUUGUUAGGGAAGAACAAGUACGAGAGUAACUGCUCGUACCUUGACGGUACCUAACCAGAAAGCCACGGCUAACUACGUGCCAGCAGCCGCGGUAAUACGUAGGUGGCAAGCGUUAUCCGGAAUUAUUGGGCGUAAAGCGCGCGCAGGCGGUUUCUUAAGUCUGAUGUGAAAGCCCACGGCUCAACCGUGGAGGGUCAUUGGAAACUGGGGAACUUGAGUGCAGAAGAGAAAAGCGGAAUUCCACGUGUAGCGGUGAAAUGCGUAGAGAUGUGGAGGAACACCAGUGGCGAGGGCGGCUUUUUGGUCUGUAACUGACGCUGAGGCGCGAAAGCGUGGGGAGCAAACAGGAUUAGAUACCCUGGUAGUCCACGCCGUAAACGAUGAGUGCUAAGUGUUAGAGGGUUUCCGCCCUUUAGUGCUGCAGCUAACGCAUUAAGCACUCCGCCUGGGGAGUACGGUCGCAAGACUGAAACUCAAAGGAAUUGACGGAAGCCGAAUUAAGCG
rnacentral:rRNA from 1 species